GUUCUUACUCUGAAACACCAACAGAUCCUCUAUUUUGGCUUUUUUUUCCCUCACCCAACAGAGGAACCUUCCCGUUGUUCCUGUGUGAUCUCAGAUCUCUAUGGAUGGUGAAACAUUUGAGCUACAGAAGCUUUUAAAGUAUAUGAAGAAACCAUUAAGUACAUUAUGAAAGCAUUGAGGCCAAAGGAUCUGAGCCAGCUCUUUGCAAACCCAGCUCUAAUGACCUACUAUUUACCCAGAAUUGAGCAGUAUAAAGCCUUCAUUACCAAUUGUUGGUUAGCUGGGAAUUGUAUGUUUUCCAGUGGAGAAUGCACAGGGAUAUUAAUGGAGCUGCUGUGCAAGGCCUGAACUGCAGAGGGUGGGACAGGGACCAUCCUCUGACA